rnacentral:rRNA from 1 species
AGAGUUUGAUCCUGGCUCAGAUUGAACGCUGGCGGCAGGCCUAACACAUGCAAGUCGAGCGGCAUCGAGAAGAAAACUUGUUUUCUUUGUCGGCGAGCGGCGGACGGGUGAGUAAUGGUUGGGAACCUGGCCUAACGAGGGGGAUAACAGUUGGAAACGACUGCUAAUACCACAUGAUGUCUACGGACCAAAGAAGGGGAUCUUCGGACCUUUCGCGUUAGGAUGGGCCCAAUUGGGAUUAGCUAGUUGGUGAGGUAAUGGCUCACCAAGGUAACGAUCUCUAGCUGGUUUGAGAGGAUGAUCAGCCACACUGGAACUGAGACACGGUCCAGACUCCUACGGGAGGCAGCAGUGGGGAAUAUUGCACAAUGGGCGCAAGCCUGAUGCAGCCAUGCCGCGUGUAUGAAGAAGGCCUUCGGGUUGUAAAGUACUUUCAGCGAGGAGGAAGGUAGCGUAGUUAAUACCUGCGUUAUUUGACGUUACUCGCAGAAGAAGCACCGGCUAACUCCGUGCCGGCAGCCGCGGUAAUACGGAGGGUGCGAGCGUUAAUCGGAAUUACUGGGCGUAAAGCGCAUGCAGGCGGUUUGUUAAGUUAGAUGUGAAAGCCCCGGGCUUAACCUGGGAGUUGCAUUUAAGACUGGCAAGCUAGAGUCUUGUAGAGGGGGGUAGAACUUCAGGUGUAGCGGUGAAAUGCGUAGAGAUCUGAAGGAAUACCGGAAGCGAAGGCGCUUCUCUGGACAGAUACUGACACUCAUGGACGAAAGCUAAGGUAGCGAAAGGGAUUAGAUACCCCUGUAGUCUUAGCCGUAAACGGUGUGCACUUGUUGUUGGUGGAUUAACCCCCAUCAGUGACAAAGCUAACGCGAUAAGUGCACCGCCUGGGGAGUACGGUCGCAAGAUUAAAACUCAAAGGAAUUGACGGGGGCCCGCACAAGCGGUGGAGCAUGUGGCUUAAUUCGAUGCAACGCGAAGAACCUUACCUGGACUUGACAUGGCGACCCUUCGGGGGCAGAUGUGAAAGCAUCUUUACGCACACGGGUGCUGCAUGGCUGUCGUCAGCUCGUGCCGUGAGAUGUUGGGUUUAAGUCCCGCAACGAGCGCAACCCUCGUGUUUAGUUGCCAGCAGGUUAAGCUGGGCUCUCUAAACAGACUGCCUGUGAUAAGCAGGAGGAAGGUGGGGAUGACGUCAAGUCAGUAUGGUCCUUAUGUCCAGGGCUGCACACGUGCUACAAUGGUCGGUACAGAAGGAAGCAAGACCGCGAGGUGGGGCUAAUCCCCAAAGCCGACCCCAGUUCGGAUUGUAGUCUGCAACUCGACUACAUGAAGUCGGAAUCGCUAGUAAAGGCGCAUCAGCUACGGCGCCUUGAAUACGUUCCCGGGCCUUGUACACACCGCCCGUCACAUCACGAAAGACGUCUGCACCCGAAGUCGCUGAUCUAACCAUUUAUGGAGGAAGGCGCCGAAGGUGUGGGGGAUGAUUGGGACGAAGUCGUAACAAGGUAACCGUA